rnacentral:rRNA from 1 species
UGGGGAAUAUUGCACAAUGGGGGAAACCCUGAUGCAGCGACGCCGCGUGAGCGAUGAAGGCUUUCGAGUCGUAAAGCUCUGUCCUAUGGGAAGAUAAUGACGGUACCAUAGAAGAAAGCCCCGGCUAAUUACGUGCCAGCAGCCGCGGUAAUACGUAAGGGGCGAGCGUUGUCCGGAAUUAUUGGGCGUAAAGAGUGCGUAGGCGGCAAAUUAAGUCAGAUGUGAAAACUAAGGGCUCAACCCCUAGAUUGCAUCUGAAACUGAUAUGCUUGAGUCAAGGAGAGGAAAGUGGAAUUCCUAGUGUAGCGGUGGAAUGCGUAGAUAUUAGGAGGAAUACCGGUGGCGAAGGCGACUUUCUGGACUUGAACUGACGCUGAGGCACGAAAGCGUGGGGAGCAAACAGG